UGGGGAAUAUUGCGCAAUGGGCGAAAGCCUGACGCAGCAACACCGCGUGAGGGAUGACGGCCUUCGGGUUGUAAACCUCUUUCAGCUCCGACGAAGCGAAAGUGACGGUAGGAGCAGAAGAAGCACCGGCUAACUACGUGCCAGCAGCCGCGGUAAUACGUAGGGUGCAAGCGUUGUCCGGAAUUAUUGGGCGUAAAGAGCUCGUAGGCGGUUCGGUAAGUCGGGUGUGAAAACUCUGGGCUCAACCCAGAGAGGCCACUCGAUACUGCUGUGACUAGAGUGCGGUAGGGGAGCGGGGAAUUCCUGGUGUAGCGGUGAAAUGCGCAGAUAUCGAGGAGGAACACCAGUGGCGAAGGCGCCGCUCUGGGCCGUAACUGACGCUGAGGAGCGAAA
rnacentral:rRNA from 1 species